AACGAACGCUGGCGGCAGGCUUAACACAUGCAAGUCGAGCGCCCCGCAAGGGGAGCGGCAGACGGGUGAGUAACGCGUGGGAAUCUACCCAUCUCUACGGAAUAACGCAUGGAAACGCGUGCUAAUACCGUAUACGUCCUUCGGGAGAAAGAUUUAUCGGAGAUGGAUGAGCCCGCGUUGGAUUAGCUAGUUGGUGGGGUAAAGGCCUACCAAGGCGACGAUCCAUAGCUGGUCUGAGAGGAUGAUCAGCCACACUGGGACUGAGACACGGCCCAGACUCCUACGGGAGGCAGCAGUGGGGAAUAUUGGACAAUGGGCGCAAGCCUGAUCCAGCCAUGCCGCGUGAGUGAUGAAGGCCCUAGGGUUGUGAAGCUCUUUCACCGGUGAAGAUAAUGACGGUAACCGGAGAAGAAGCCCCGGCUAACUUCGUGCCAGCCGCCGCAGUAAAAC
rnacentral:rRNA from 1 species